GAGGGAGAAACCGCGGAGAGAAACCCCUUUUUUUCCUCCCCUUCCCCUCCCUAGGAUGGAGUAUUAAAGCCCUCGCCGCGCCGCUGCUCACCUUGUGGGGCUCCUCUUGUCGCCCAUGCCAGACCAGGGAGAAUCUGGAGGAGCUGAGACGAGCAGAACACUCGGGUUUUUUUAUUCUCGUUAUUUUAGCUAAAGAAGCGAUGCGCCUGUGCCGCUCGGCUUCCAGCUGUCGUGGAAACUCCGCUUGGGAAAUAGACACGUGACCACGCGUCGGCCAAUCAGCGGCGCGCUUACUUCCCGUGGCUGACAUUCCUCUUCAUGAAUCAGUGCUGCGUUCAGGGACACCCCGCAGAUAUACUGCAGCUGUUUAUACCGGAGGAUCAUACGCAGGAACGUUGGGGAAAUCCUUGGCUCACUUUGCAUGCUGACGCAAGAGGGGACAAAAAGCACAUGAGGAUCCAGGGGUUCCUGAGACGCUUCACAACAAGGACAUAGUGAAAAUCUCCAUAAUAUCCAAACGAUGGGGUUUCACUGCAGGGAAAUCAGAAACAUAGCUUUUACAUUUUCAUAGCAUAGGUCAACGUGGGAUGUUUUGAUUCCCCCCCCCCCCCUUUUUAAUUGGAAUGUCCCCUUCUUUGUUUGCAUCUGAUCAAAUACAGCAAUUGUAUGCUCAAAUGACCCAUUUGUCACCAUAUGUACAAAAACAACAAAAAACUGCAAAACAAAUAUAGGGAAAAAAAAGCUUUCACUUUAUUGGAAAAAGGCAAGAAGUAAAUGAUCUGUUUUCUGCAUCUGACCAAGAAAUGUAGGCUAUGUCUUAAGUCAAGAUUUUAUUGAGUGAUAAAAACGAACAAACAAUCUUCAUAGACACAGUCACGCCAUGAAUAAUUCAGCUUUUUGCAUUUAUUAAAAGGUUUAUUGGGGGGGUGCAGGGGUCAUCUGUUAGUGGCGGCUCUCUUUUCUUUGUUUAAACACCAUAUUGCUAAACAAAAUACAGCUUUUGAAAUACUAUGAAAAAAAUUAUAAAAAUGUUCUUUAAGUCUGUUUAAGUUAUUAGUCGCUGAGCUCCUCCUCGUCACUGAAGUAUGCACUUUUUUUGAUCCUUCGCUUCUUGGAUUCGGAGGAUGUCGACGCAUGAGCACUGUCCUCUUCUGCUUGCCUCCUCUGUUUUUUCUCCUCUUCCUCGACGUGGGCUUGCUG